rnacentral:tRNA from 1 species
CGGCGACCGGCACGUUGGUCCGGGCGAGGGCGCCGAUCACGACGGCGGUGGAGUUGGCGUCGCUGGGGCUGCCGGGGUUGUACCCCCAGCCGCCGUCC